GGCCACCUUCGGGGGGCUUUACCAAAAGCGGUAAAACCGCUGACAUAGCAAACGGAAGACAGAAA
rnacentral:ncRNA from 2 species